UAGGGAAUCUUCGGCAAUGGACGAAAGUCUGACCGAGCAACGCCGCGUGAGUGAAGAAGGUUUUCGGAUCGUAAAACUCUGUUGGUAGAGAAGAACGUUGGUGAGAGUGGAAAGCUCAUCAAGUGACGGUAACUACCCAGAAAGGGACGGCUAACUACGUGCCAGCAGCCGCGGUAAUACGUAGGUCCCGAGCGUUGUCCGGAUUUAUUGGGCGUAAAGCGAGCGCAGGUGGUUUAUUAAGU
rnacentral:rRNA from 1 species